AGAGUUUGAUCAUGGCUCAGGAUGAACGCUAGCUACAGGCUUAACACAUGCAAGUCGAGGGGAAACGAUAGAGAAAGCUUGCUUUUUCUAGGCGUCGACCGGCGCACGGGUGAGUAACGCGUAUCCAACCUGCCCACCACUUGGGGAUAACCUUGCGAAAGUAAGACUAAUACCCAAUGACGUCUCUAGAAGACAUCUGAAAGGGAUUAAAGAUUUAUCGGUGAUGGAUGGGGAUGCGUCUGAUUAGCUUGUUGGCGGGGUAACGGCCCACCAAGGCAACGAUCAGUAGGGGUUCUGAGAGGAAGGUCCCCCACAUUGGAACUGAGACACGGUCCAAACUCCUACGGGAGGCAGCAGUGAGGAAUAUUGGUCAAUGGGCGAGAGCCUGAACCAGCCAAGUAGCGUGCAGGAUGACGGCCCUAUGGGUUGUAAACUGCUUUUAUAAGGGAAUAAAGUGAGUCUCGUGAGGCUUUUUGCAUGUACCUUAUGAAUAAGGACCGGCUAAUUCCGUGCCAGCAGCCGCGGUAAUACGGAAGGUCCGGGCGUUAUCCGGAUUUAUUGGGUUUAAAGGGAGCGUAGGCCGGAGAUUAAGCGUGUUGUGAAAUGUAGAUGCUCAACAUCUGCACUGCAGCGCGAACUGGUUUCCUUGAGUACGCACAAAGUGGGCGGAAUUCGUGGUGUAGCGGUGAAAUGCUCAGAUAUCACGAAGAACUCCGAUUGCGAAGGCAGCUCACUGGAGCGCAACUGACGCUGAAGCUCGAAAGUGCGGGUAUCGAACAGGAUUAGAUACCCUGGUAGUCCGCACGGUAAACGAUGGAUGCCCGCUGUUGGUCUGAAUAGGUCAGCGGCCAAGCGAAAGCAUUAAGCAUCCCA
rnacentral:rRNA from 1 species